ensembl:lncRNA
GUGGGGGCGCGGCGCUCUCCCGGCGGGUCGGUGCCCACCUCCUCAGGGCUGCCAGAGGCGCGGCCGCUCUCCCGGCCGGCUGGGGGCCUUUCCUGGGAAGAGUUUCCACCCACCCAUCCGUCCACCCAUCCAUCCAUCCAUCCGGAAAGUCAAGUUUUUUGGGUUUUUAAGUAGAGCAGCGCUCUGAGGGGCUGUUCACGGCCGGUCCGCCCCGCCUGCCCUUGCGGCUGCUUUGCUUUUGGUUGUGCCACUGGGUGAGGUGGCCCAAACAUGCAAAUUACUGGUACUUUCUCCCUGAAAGCAAUCUUGGCCUGGAAGUAAACACAUGAAGUUGCUGGCAGCCUCCCAGGGGAAGGUCUGUGGUAAUCCUUGACCCUCCCGGGGUUCAAGUAGCAGCGUCAGCCCAAGAGGUGUCAGAAAGACCAUCUCCAGUAUGAUUUUCAUUCUACAAAAGCAAAUGGUGCUCUCUAUGUUGCUGUGCCACUGAAAGAAGCCGAUGGUCCCAAGAUACCACAGACAAGUUUCCCAGCCUGAAGGAGCCUGGUGAGCAGUGCCACUGUGGGACCAAUGAGCUGUCUGUGGAACAGCUGCAGUCUCCAUACCUGCAUCUCCACUGGGAAGAGUCUGGGAACUUCUGCCUUAAUGAACUUCAGACCACACACCUAGCAAAGUGUAAUUGAAAUCCAUCAUCAGCGAUGAUCAUCUUUGGCUGGUUUUACAUGUAAGGAACAACUUGCUCCAGCUUUUGAACUUCUCCUGGAAAACUGAAUGCAUCCAGCAGUCAAAUGAAGGACUGAGCCAGGCACAGUGUGCUGCAGCAAUUUGCUCAGCUUCUCUCUUAGAGAAAAGUGCUGGGACAAUCUCAUCCAAGAUGGAGACCUGGCUGAGAGAGGAAAACACAGAGCUGGCCCAGUGGAUGGAGAAGAUGGGGUUUACAGUGACAGAACCAGAACUCAUGGAGCACCGGUUUCCCAACCUCCCUGCAGCACCUCAGACACAGGUUUGCAUCCUGGCUUUUGGUGCUUCCAGCUUCAUAACCUCUCUGCUCUGCUCUGGAUGACACUUCCCAUCCCCAGCACAGGCCCCCAGUAAUUUACAGAUAUACAGUAGAUCCCAAGUGUAACCCUCUGUAGGGAGCUGUGUAGUUUAGCUGAAUCCUUACAGUACUUCUUGCCUCAUGGAAAUUGUUCAAACACUUCUGUUCUUGUAAUGUGAGGCAGAUGUUGGACACAGAAAUCUCAUUCCUAAGCACCAAAAUUUAACUGCAUUUUAGUAAUUAAAAGACAGUACUUUGAGUGCUUAAUUUUAACUUGGUGUUGCUAUGGAAAAUAAAGAACUGUGCCUUCCCUUCCCCCUGGUCCCCAAAGAGAAAAUUAGAAACCUUUGAUAUUAUUUCUCUACAACAUAAAAAAAGAAAAUUCCCAAGUAAAAUGGCUUUUAGUGUUGUGGUACACAAUAUAAGAAAGCAGACUGUAAUUAAUUAUUCUCUGCAGAGUACAUUAUUAUGAGAUUGAGAUAAGCUUUGACCUUUGCUGCAUCCAUUUGCAUAAUACAGCACACAGUACCAUGCCAUUGUGGACUUUUCAUCAUCAACGUGCUGCUGCUGAUACUGAAAUGUGUUCCCUUAAAAUACUCCAUUCUGUGAAUUUUAAUUGCAAACAUACUCUUCAUGUUAUCUGCUGGACUAAAGUAGUGCUGAGUACAAUUUAUCUCUUAAUACCCACUGGUUCCUGAUGUCUAUAGGACAACCAGGAUUGGAAUUGGCUAUUGAGAGCACAGGAUAUUGAUCAUUAAAAGUCCACAGAAACAUUAUGCUUAACUUGGGAAAUCCCUGCAGAAUAAAAUGUUAGCAUUAAUUUAAAGCUCUCUUUUUUUUUUUUUUUUUCUUUUUUCUCCAAAUACAAAAGAGGAACACAGUUAUACUUCCAGGAGUUAAUCUCCUUGUUAUGUACAUGACUGACCUUGAAAGAGGCGGGUUGAACAAUGGAGUUUUUAAUCAGAAGGACUGAAUGAAAAGUGCAGACAGAAUGAAAAGAGUUAAGAAGUAUUGUUUAUUAGGAUAUCUUGAAUACAGAUAACAAAAUGGUAUGCUGGGCUGGCUGCUUGGCAUAUAACCACAAUGGACAGAUGGUUUUUCAUUAUCUGUUGUAUGGAAAUACAAGGUUUGUAACA